GAUGAACGCUGGCGGCGUGCCUAAUACAUGCAAGUCGAGCGGACAGACGAGGAGCUUUCUGCUCUGACGGGAGCGGCGGAGAGGGGGGGAGCACGUGGAUAACCUACCGAUAAGACUGGGAGGACAUCGGGAAACCGGAGCGAAUACCAGGUGAUAUAUUGGACCUCAUGGUUGAAUGGUGAGGGACGGUUUUUCUUUCGCUGAGAGAUGGAUCCGCGCCGCAUUAGCUAGUUGGUAAGGUAACGGCUUACCAAGGCAACGAUGCGUAGCCGACCUGAGAGGGUGAUCGGCCACACUGGAACUGAGACACGGUCCAGACUCCUACGGGAGGCAGCAGGAGGGAAUCUUCCGCACUGGGCGAAAGCCUGACGGAGCAACGCCGCGUGAGUGAUGAAGGUAUUCGGAUCGUAAAACUCUGUUAUUAGGGAAGAACAAAUGUGUAAGUAACUAUGCACGUCUUGAAGGUAACUAAUCAGAAAGCCACGGCUAAAUACGUG
rnacentral:rRNA from 1 species